rnacentral:rRNA from 1 species
AGAGUUUGAUCCUGGCUCAGGAUGAACGCUGGCGGCGUGCUUAACACAUGCAAGUCGAACGAUCCUUCGGGAUAGUGGCGGACGGGUGAGUAACGCGUGGGAAUCUGCCCUCAGGAGGGGGAUAACGGCUGGAAACGGCCGCUAAUACCCCAUAUGCCGAGAGGUGAAAUGAAUUUCGCCUGAGGAUGAGCCCGCGUCUGAUUAGCUAGUUGGUGGGGUAAAGGCCUACCAAGGCAACGAUCAGUAGCUGGUCUGAGAGGAUGAUCAGCCACACUGGGACUGAGACACGGCCCAGACUCCUACGGGAGGCAGCAGUGGGGAAUUUUCCGCAAUGGGCGAAAGCCUGACGGAGCAACGCCGCGUGAGGGAUGAAGGCCUCUGGGCUGUAAACCUCUUUUCUCAAGGAAGAAGACCUGACGGUACUUGAGGAAUAAGCCACGGCUAAUUCCGUGCCAGCAGCCGCGGUAAUACGGGAGUGGCAAGCGUUAUCCGGAAUUAUUGGGCGUAAAGCGUCCGCAGGCGGCCUUGUAAGUCUGUUGUUAAAGCGUGGAGCUCAACUCCAUUUAAGCAAUGGAAACUACAAGGCUGGAGUGUGGUAGGGGCAGAGGGAAUUCCCGGUGUAGCGGUGAAAUGCGUAGAUAUCGGGAAGAACACCAGUGGCGAAGGCGCUCUGCUGGGCCAUAACUGACGCUCAUGGACGAAAGCCAGGGGAGCGAAAGGGAUUAGAUACCCCUGUAGUCCUGGCCGUAAACGAUGAACACUAGGUGUCGGGGGAAUCGACCCCCUCGGUGUCGUAGCCAACGCGUUAAGUGUUCCGCCUGGGGAGUACGCACGCAAGUGUGAAACUCAAAGGAAUUGACGGGGGCCCGCACAAGCGGUGGAGUAUGUGGUUUAAUUCGAUGCAACGCGAAGAACCUUACCAGGGUUUGACAUCCUGCGAACCCCUGAGAAAUCGGGGGGUGCCUUCGGGAGCGCAGAGACAGGUGGUGCAUGGCUGUCGUCAGCUCGUGUCGUGAGAUGUUGGGUUAAGUCCCGCAACGAGCGCAACCCACGUCUUUAGUUGCCAGCAUUCAGUUGGGCACUCUAGAGAGACCGCCGGUGAUAAACCGGAGGAAGGUGUGGAUGACGUCAAGUCAUCAUGCCCCUUACAUCCUGGGCUACACACGUACUACAAUGCUACGGACAAAGGGCAGCAAGCUCGCGAGAGUUAGCAAAUCCCAUAAACCGUGGCUCAGUUCAGAUCGUAGGCUGCAACUCGCCUACGUGAAGGAGGAAUCGCUAGUAAUCGCAGGUCAGCAUACUGCGGUGAAUACGUUCCCGGGCCUUGUACACACCGCCCGUCACACCAUGGAAGUUGGCCAUGCCCGAAGUCGUUACUCCAACCCUUGUGGAGGAGGGCGCCGAAGGUGGGGCUGAUGACUGGGGUGAAGUCGUAACAAGGUA